rnacentral:snoRNA from 1 species
GUAAAUAUCGUGCGGAAUAAGUCCCAAGACUCUAAAAACGUGUUGUUCAUAGAGUUCUCAGUACUCACUUAUGAAUGUCAAGUCUAAUGGGUAGAUUAAAGUAGAAAAAUUAUUCGUUCUUAAUGCUCUAAUGUAAUUGUGUUUAUUUACAAAACAUGCAAUUACGGGCUGGUUGGAUAAUACAUUU